AUUGAACGCUGGCGGCAGGCCUAACACAUGCAAGUCGAGCGCGUGGCGGACGGGUGAGUAAUGUCUGGGAAACUGCCUGAUGGAGGGGGAUAACUACUGGAAACGGUAGCUAAUACCGCAUACCAUCAGAUGUGCCCAGCUGGGCUUAGCUUGUUGGUGGGGUAACGGCUCACCAGGGCGACGAUCCCUAUCUGGUCUGAGAGGAUGACCAGCCACACUGGAACUGAGACACGGUCCAGACUCCUACGGGAGGCAGCAGUGGGGAAUAUUGCACAAUGGGCGCAAGCCUUAUGCAGCCAUGCCGCGUGUAUGAAGAAGGCCGUCGGGUUGUAAAGUACUUUCAGCGGGGAGGCGUUACCCGCAGAAGAAGCACCGGCUAACUCCGUGCCAGCAGCCGCGGUAAUUC
rnacentral:rRNA from 1 species